GCUGGGUAUGGUGGUGCAUGCCUGUAAUCCCAGCAGCUUGGGAGGCUGAGACAGGAGGAUCGUGAGUUCAAAGCCAGCCUCAGCAAUGGCAAGGUGCUAAGCAACUUGGUGAUACCCUGUCUCUA
rnacentral:sRNA from 1 species